rnacentral:rRNA from 1 species
UACGGGGGGGGCAAGCGUUGUUCGGAAUUACUGGGCGUAAAGGGCUCGUAGGCGGCCAACUAAGUCAGACGUGAAAUCCCUCGGCUUAACCGGGGAACUGCGUCUGAUACUGGAUGGCUUGAGUUUGGGAGAGGGAUGCGGAAUUCCAGGUGUAGCGGUGAAAUGCGUAGAUAUCUGGAGGAACACCGGUGGGGAAGGCGGCAUCCUGGGCCAACAAUGGCGCUGAGUGAGCGAAAGCCAGGGGAGCAAACGGG